UCAAAUUAUGACGUACAACAGGAGAAUUAUGCCAGUCCCAGUACAAAUCUGUCAACGUCAGAUGCGGCCAAUGUGAUGAUUCAGGGAAAUAUCCAAAGCAUUUUUAAACAUCAGAAUUCUGAACCAGACGCAGGAGUUGAGUAGAUACAUACAUUUUAGGUUUUAUCACAGCCAUGAAUUUGGUAGAUGAAUGCUAGAGAAAUUCUGGAGUGUUUUACAAGGAAAAACAGAACAUUUUCCAUGGAUUUCCAGCUACCUCUGUUUUUGC
rnacentral:lncRNA from 1 species